AUAUUGGGAAGGAAGGCUAAAUCUGCGACAUCGUGUCGCGACGCCUUCAUAACCAACAUCCCGUUGG
rnacentral:sRNA from 1 species